CACUCAAAAAGCAAUUGACACAUUUUUAUUCGACUAUAGAACUACUAAACAUUGUACAACCGGAGAAACCCCUGCUAAACUAAUGCUCGGUAAAGAAUUGAGAACACGAUUCACUCUUUUACUUCCAAACACGGAGCAAAAAGUUAAUGAAAAACAUGAUUGUCAAAUUCAACAUAAAAGGGGGAAAAGAAUAAUCGAAUUUAAAGAAGGCGAUUUAGUAUGGGCGAUGAAUUUUAGCAAAAACGCUGCUCCUUGGUUGGAAGCAAAAAUAAAGAGUAGAAUCGGACCAGUAAACUAUUUGAUUGAAUGGGAAUCAGGUAAAGUGGAUAAACGCCACGUCGAUCAAAUAGUAACUCGUGAAACGGUUGAAUUAGAUGACGUUGCACAGACAAACGAAAAAGCUAACGUUGAGAAAACUGUGUUAUUGCGUAGAUCCGCUCGGCUCCUAGAGAGAGAACAAAAAUUAAGCGGAGAGAAAGUGUAACAUAUGUAAGCCUAGCUACUAGCGACGUUAUGUAAUAACAAUGGCACUCACGAAUUGUAGCGCUAAUGCGCGAAGAACACUACGACACAGUCAGUCGUCGACCAACCUUCGAUCUGUUAGAUCGGAAGAGCGU